UACGUAGGGUGCGAGCGUUUGUCCGGAGUUAUUGGGCGUAAAGGGCUCGUAGGCGGUUUGUCGCGUCGGGAGUGAAAACCUUGGGCUUAACUCAGGGCUUGCUUUCGAUACGGGCAGACUAGAGGUAUGCAGGGGAGAACGGAAUUCCUGGUGUAGCGGUGAAAUGCGCAGAUAUCAGGAGGAACACCGGUGGCGAAGGCGGUUCUCUGGGCAUGAUCUGACGCUGAGGAGCGAAAGUGUGGGGAGCGAACAGG
rnacentral:rRNA from 1 species